rnacentral:rRNA from 1 species
AUACGUAGGUGGCAAGCGUUGUCCGGAUUUACUGGGUGUAAAGGGCGUGUAGGCGGAGAUGCAAGUCAGGAGUGAAAUCUAGGGGCUCAACCCCUAAACUGCUUUUGAAACUGUAUCCCUUGAGUAUCGGAGAGGCAGGCGGAAAUCCCAGUGUAGCGGUGAAAUGCGUAGAUAUUAGGAGGAACACCAGUGGCGAAGGCGGCCUGCUGGACGACAACUGACGCUGAGGCGCGAAAGCGUGGGGAGCAAACAGGAUUAGAUGCCCUGGUAGUCCACGCUGUAAACGAUGAAUACUAGGUGUGGGGGGACUGACCCCCUCCGUGCCGCAGUUAACACAAUAAGUAUUCCACCUGGGGAGUACGAUCGCAAGAUUGAAACUCAAAUGAAUUGACGGG